rnacentral:rRNA from 1 species
AUUGAACGCUGGCGGCAGGCCUAACACAUGCAAGUCGAACGAGUGGCGGACGGGUGAGUAAUGUCUGGGAAACUGCCCGAUGGAGGGGGAUAACUACUGGAAACGGUAGCUAAUACCGCAUACCAUCGGAUGUGCCCAGAUGGGAUUAGCUAGUAGGUGGGGUAAAGGCUCACCUAGGCGAUGAUCCCUAGCUGGUCUGAGAGGAUGACCAGACAGAGGGGAACUUAGCCACAUGCCAGACUCCUACGGGAGGCAGCAGUGGGGAAUAUUGCACAAUGGGCGCAAGCCUGAUGCAGCCAUGCCGCGGGUAUGAAGAAGGCCUUCGGGUUGUAAAGUACUUUCAGCGGGGAGGCGUUACCCGCAGAAGAAGCACCGGCUAACUCCGUGCCAGCAGCCGCGGUAAUUC